AACCCACGUGAUCAUGCUUGGUUCUUCCUGGAACUAUACAGCCAAGAACUUAAUAAUCACUGAUACGAAUGAAUUAAACAGCAUUGUGGAAGUGCACGUCAUAUUUAUAGACUGUCAACUGUGCAUUGUACUGCAACACCCGUAUGCUAAUACCGGUUAUGGAUGUACCUAUUGGCGUAGCUUCGACGGAAUACAUCAACAAGCCGAAGGUUGCGAGUUCAUCUACGAUGAACUGUGCGGCACUAGCCCAAAGUACGACCUUUACGAUCCGACGUGCGCUCCAGUGACGUUUUCCAUACUUUCGUGGGAGCAUGUAACCAAACCGCCGCCAUCGCCACCACCAACUGCGACACCGACGGAUACGCCACCAAAAGGACAUCCUGGUCACCAGGACCCAUGGGAUAUAUUGAACCCAUGGAAGCCUUGGAAACAAUGGAUCCAAGGCAACCAAAGUAACAAAUGGAACCCAUGGAAUCAGUGGAACCAAGGCAACCAAGGCGGCCAAGGAAAUCAAGACAACCGAAGCAACCAAUGGAAGCCAGGGCAGCUAUGGGGCCCAUUGACGGACUUGGUGGAAGGAGUGACUGGGCCUCUUGAGUCACUGCUGAAUCCAUUUAAAGGCAAGUAAUAUUGCCAAUGCAGUAAUUGACUAUGACUAAAGAACAAUAUAUGUGUAAAUCAAUACAUUAUCGAACCGCAAGGCAUACACAGACCACCACUCCUCCCGCCAUACGAUACGAAUACGUAGGACCUCGCAAUGUGGAUGUCCGUUAUAUUGUGUGAUUCCUUACUAAUAAACGUUAACCCUUAGGCUUGACGUUUCCAUUCUCAUUCCAUUCCUAGUAAGCAUCAACAUAACUUAAAGGCGAGAAGAAUCUCUAAUAAAUUAUAUUCUCCUCGUCCUC